AAACCAGCACCUCAAGUGGUCAGGAUGAUUAUUGGGCCUAAAGCAUCCGUAGCCUGCUUUGUAAGUUUUCGGUUAAAUCCAUAUGCUCAACAUAUGGGCUGCCGGGAAUACUGCACAGCUAGGGAGUGGGAGAGGUAGACGGUACUCCAUAGGAAGGGGUAAAAUCCUUUGAUCUAUGGAAGACCACCUGUGGCGAAGGCGGUCUACCAGAACACGUUCGACGGUGAGGGAUGAAAGCUGGGGGAGCAAACCGGAUUAGAAACCCCGGUAGUCC
rnacentral:rRNA from 1 species